UGGGUGGUGGGUUCAAUCCCCAGUGUGGGGCAUGCAGGAGGCAGCUGAUCAAUGACUCUCUCUCAUCAUUGAUGUUUCUAUCUCUCCCUCUUUUUUCCUCUCUGAAAAACAAAACAUCAGAGCUGAGCUUUGACAAGAUUGCUAUUAAACUAAAUGUCUGUGACAAAGAAGUUCAAGAAGCCAUUGUCAAAACACCAGGUAGUGAGCACAGAGGAUGGCAAAGGGAUGAUGGAUGGAAAUGACAGCAAGAAAAUGCAAAGCCUAAACUUAUCCCGUGCCCUCUCUCGCCGCCCGCCAGCGCUGUCACGGGAACAUGUUAGCCAGUCUCCUUGGAAUCAUUACCAGGUCUCCUUGGAAUGGAAACUGUGUCGGACUCCGGGGGUGAGUGGGAGGAAGAAUGGUCCUGGCAGAAAGAGAGGAAGUGUUUUUGCAAUUUAGAGCCAGAAUCUCUAGACAUCAACGCAAGGCAUUUAUUCUCCACAAAGCCUUCCAGGCACAUGCAAUCGCCGGAGAGGAAUUGUUAAACAGUCCCAACCCCAAUUAAGUUUUCAGCUGCUUUCUGUAACCCUGGAUCAAGAGAUUGACUAUCUCCAGCACUCUGUGGGGAUUUCUCCUGUCACUUCCCAAUAAUACCCUACGCCACCACCCCCAACAAGGCCAUCACUAGUCUGACUUCUAUGACCAUCAAUAGUUUGCCUGUUCUUGAACUUCAUAUAAAAGAAU